UACGUAGGGUGCGAGCGUUAAUCGGAAUUACUGGGCGUAAAGCGUGCGCAGGCGGUUUUUUAAGAUAGGCGUGAAAUCCCCGGGCUCAACCUGGGAACUGCGCUUAUGACUGGAAGACUAGAGUAUGGCAGAGGGGGGUGGAAUUCCACGUGUAGCAGUGAAAUGCGUAGAGAUGUGGAGGAACACUGAUGGCGAAGGCAGCCCCCUGGGCCAAUACUGACGCUCAUGCACGAAAGCAUGGGGAGCAAACAGG
rnacentral:rRNA from 1 species